rnacentral:rRNA from 1 species
ACGAGCGCUGGCGGCAUGCCUAACACAUGCCAGUCGAGCGCCUGUAGCAAUACAGGAGCGGCGCACGGGUGAGUAACGCGUGGGAACCUGCUCUUAGGUUCGGAACAACCGCGGGAAACUGCGGCUGCUACCGGAUGAUGUCUUCGGACCAAAGAUUUAUCGCCUUUGGAGGGGCCCGCGUCGGAUUAGGUAGUUGGUGAGGUAACGGCUCACCAAGCCUGCGAUCCGUAGCUGGUCUGAGAGGAUGACCAGCCACACUGGGACUGAGACACGGCCCAGACUCCUACGGGAGGCAGCAGUGGGGAGUAUUGGACAAUGGGGGCAACCCUGAUCCAGCAAUGCCGCGUGGGUGAUGAAGGCCUUCGGGUUGUAAAGCCCUUUCGGCGGGGACGAUGAUGACGGUACUGGAAGAAGAAGCACCGGCUAACUACGU